rnacentral:lncRNA from 1 species
AUGCAGUCAAAAAAUACUAUGCUUAAAAAAAAUAAAAAAAUAAUAAAAAGAGAGCCCGAUAUGUUGAAACCCGAAAGGGCAACUUAUGCAAAAAUGGGUAUCCCGGUAGACUGAAAACCCGAAAGGGCAGUCUAGGUAAAAAUUAGGGAUUUAACAAAAGUAAGAGGCUGCAUCCCACAAGGAAUCUUUCUUCAUUCCCUGACGAAUCAAUUAUAUGGGUCCCCCAGCAAGU